CCUUACGGGCGGUGAGUGCAACUGACGCUGAGGCUCGAAAGUGUGGGUAUCAAACAGGAUUAGAUACCCUGGUAGUCCACACAGUAAACGAUGAAUCCUCGCGGUUGGUUCGUUAGAUUCAGCCGCCAAGCGAAAGCGUUAAGUAUUCCACCUGGGGAGUACGCCGGCAACGGUGAAACUCAAAGGAAUUGACGGGGGCCCGCACAAGCGGAGGAACAUGUGGUUUAAUUCGAUGAUACGCGAGGAACCUUACCCGGGCUUGAACUGCCAGUGACUCAUGCAGAGACGCAUGUUUCUUCGGACACUGGCGGAGGUGCUGCAUGGUUGUCGUCAGCUCGUGCCGUGAGGUGUCGGCUUAAGUGCCAUAACGAGCGCAACCCUUCUCCCUGUUUGCCAUCGGGUCAUGCCGGGCACUCCAGGGACACUGCCAUCGUAAGAUGUGAGGAAGGUGGGGAUGACGUCAAAUCAGCACGGCCCUUACGUCCGGGGCUACACACGUGUUACAAUGGGCGGUACAGAAAGCAGCUACCCCGCGAGGGGAUGCCAAUCUCAAAAACCGUUCUCAGUUCGGACUGGAGUCUGCAACCCGACUCCACGAAGCUGGAUUCGCUAGUAAUCGCGCAUCAGCCAUGGCGCGGUGAAUACGUUCCCGGGCCUUGCACACACCGCCCGUA
rnacentral:rRNA from 1 species